AUUGAACGCUGGCGGCAGGCCUAACACAUGCAAGUCGAACGGUAACAGAAAGCCUCUUGCUGCUUUGCUGCCGAGUGGCGGACGGGUGAGUAAUGUCUUGGAAACUGCCUGAUGGAGGGGGAUAACUACUGGAAACGGUAGCUAAUACCGCAUAACGUCGCAAGAACAAAGAGGGGUACCUUCUGGCCUCUUUCCAUCGGAUUUGCCCAGAUGGGAUUAGCUAGUAGGGGGGGUAACGGCUCCCCCAGGCGACGAUGCCUAUCUGGUCUGAGAGGAUGAACAGACACACUGGAACUGAGACACGGUCCAGACUCCUAGGGGAAGCAGCAGUGGGGAAUAUUGCACAAUGGGCGCGAGCCUGAUGCAGCCAUGCCGCGUGUAUGAAGAAGGCCUUCGGGUUGUAAAGUAGUUUCAGCGGGGAGGAAGGGAGUAAAGUUAAUACCAUUGCUCAUUGACGUUACCCGCAGAAGAAGCACCGGCUAACUCCGUG
rnacentral:rRNA from 1 species